UACAGAGGUCUCAAGCGUUGUUCGGAUUCAUUGGGCGUAAAGGGCGCGUAGGCGGCGCGGUAAGUCACUUGUGAAAUCUCUGAGCUUAACUCAGAACGGCCAAGUGAUACUGCAGUGCUAGAGUGUGGAAGGGGCAAUCGGAAUUCUUGGUGUAGCGGUGAAAUGCGUAGAUAUCAAGAGGAACACCUGAGGUGAAGACGGGUUGCUGGGCCAACACUGACGCUGAUGCGCGAAAGCCAGGGGAGCAAAACGGG
rnacentral:rRNA from 1 species